rnacentral:lncRNA from 1 species
ACAGACCUUUCUCUUUACAUAUCUGGCUGGUUAUUUCCACAGAAAUAUUAGAGUAAAUGUUCAGACUAUUUAUUCUAAAAUCAAAUAGACCUAUUUCUUUGUCCCUCUUGCUUCAGGUGAGACUGUCUGUAUUGUAUCACCAUCCCCUGGAAACCCAGGUCCCCCAGGUUUUAAAGGUGUUCAAGGACCAAAGGGUUUAAAAGGACUGCCUGGUCGUCCUGGACCAAAUGGCUUUGAUGGGCAAAAAGGCCAGCGAGGCAGACCAGGAGCUGGAAUCCCUGGGCCAGAAGGCUUCCGAGGCAAAGCUGGUGAUCCUGGUGAGGAAGGUGAAAGAGGAUCCACCAUUAAUGGUAAAAAUGGUGCUCCAGGUCCACCUGGCCCAGAUGGUCAGAAAGGUGUUCCAGGUGAUACUACAUAUGGUCCUCCAGGAAUCCCAGGCAAUAGGGGACUGCCAGGACCACCUGGUGCACAAGGAGCAAGGGGUGAUCCAGGCAUUCCUGGGCUUCAAGGUACGAAAGAUUUUAUGAAGCAUUUCUACAUAGUCAAAGGAGAAAGUCUGAGUGAGGUUACUGGUGAUAACAUUUAAACCUACUCUUGUCUGCAUCCUGUCUGCAUAAUGGUGACUAUGUAGGGUAUUCAAUAUUUUUACAUUCACGUUGUCACAGUUCAGGUUGAUCAGCCACUGA